rnacentral:lncRNA from 1 species
UUUUCAGAGCUAGCCUGAGGUGAGUAGAAUGGAUCUUUACGUUUCAAAGUAAAUAAAUUUAGAGCAUGUUCAUGCAUCACAAAUGCCAUGUGAUAUAUUAGGAUGUUUGCAUUAGAAUUCACGAAUAUGUUGCAUUGCAUAAUAUAAUGUUGAUGUGGAUGGGUGUUGAAUGAUCCAUUAGCCCUCGUAUGAUGACAUGAUAUGAUAUGAUAUGGUAUGGUAUGUAAGACCAGUGAGGCCCAUUCUACGCCCCUGGUACGAUGUAAGAGAAAGACCAGUGAGGCCCAUUCUACGCCCCUGGUACGAUGUAAGAGAAAGACCAGUGAGGCUCAUACUACGCCCCUGGCAUAUUGGAAUGUUAUUGGAAUGUUAUGUUAUAUUAUGUAAGAGAAAGACCAGUGAGACCCAUGCUACGCCCCUGACACUAUUGGAAUGUGUAAAGGGCUAUUGGUGACAAGUCCAUCCUUGAUGUGAUAUGUUUGUGAUGUGAUGCAUUUCAUGAAAGCAUGAAUUUUAAUAUAAUAUUUUUACUAUUCUGCUCACUGGACUCUAAUAGCUCACCCCAUUCCCUUAAUCCCCCAGGUUUGCAAGUACGGGAUAGAUCAGAAAGUCAAUAAGAGUAAAGUCAUGUUUUAUAUAAUAGCUAGCUGUGGACAUAAGAAAGACAUUGUAAUGUAAAGUAUAGUAAUGUAGUGUAAUGUAAUGAUGUUUAUUGAGGAUUAGAGUUGUACUUGACCCUAGUAUGUUGGUUAAUCCCUUUUUG